GCUCCUACCACACAACUGGCAAAGAUAUCCAAGCUACUUUUGUCAAUGGAAAAAGGACAUCUUUCCAACCUGCAAGGGAAGUCCCUGGAUGAAAUCGAAAUUGAAGAUGAAAUUUCAUUAAGUGAUGCUGAAGCCAUGGGAAGUGAGAAUGAAUCAGAUGACCAUGAGGCACAAGAGUGUGGAAACAUUGUGACUGUGGAAGCUUCAACAAACUCGCCAAUAACUGAACAAAUCCAUCACACUGAUGACGAAAAAAACUCAAGUCAAGGAUCAAGAAGAAUUCCAAAGAAGCCGUGGUCAAAUGCUGAAGUGUCUGCUGUAAUGCGUCAUUUCAU